rnacentral:rRNA from 1 species
GACGAACGCUGGCGGCGUGCCUAACACAUGCAAGUUGAACGCUGACGGUUGGUACUUUUACCCACUGGAUGGGCAGCGAACGGGUGCGUAACGCGUGGGCAAUCUGCCUUUUCGCGGGGGACAAUAUUUGGAAACGAAUUCUAAUACCCCAUAAAAACUUUAAACACAAUUUUUAAGUUUUCAAUAUGCCAUUUCAUCACUUAAAAACGUUCCCGCGUUGCAUUAGCUAGCUGGUGGGGUAAAGGCUCACCAAGGGCAUGAUACAUAGCCGACCUGAGAGGGGGAAAGGCCAAAUUGGGACGGAGACACGGCCCAAAAUACUACGGGAGGGAGCAGGAGGGGAACUUUGGCAAAGGACGAAAGUCUGACCGAGGAACGACGGGUGAGUGAAGGAGGUUUUAGGAUCGUAAAACUCUGUUGGUAGAGAAGGACGUUGGUGAGAGUGGAAAGCGCAUCAAGUGACGGUAACUACACAAAAAGGGACGGCUAACUACGUG